AUGGGCGCAGCCUGAUGCAGCGACGCCGCGUGCGGGAUGACGGCCUUCCGGUUGUAAACCGCUUUUGAUCGGGAGCAAGCCUUCGGGUGAGUGUACCUUUCGAAUAAGCACCGGCUAACUACGUGCCAGCAGCCGCGGUAAUACGUAGGGUGCAAGCGUUAUCCGGAAUUAUUGGGCGUAAAGGGCUCGUAGGCGGUUCGUCGCGUCCGGUGUGAAAGUCCAUCGCUUAACGGUGGAUCUGCGCCGGGUACGGGCGGGCUGGAGUGCGGUAGGGGAGACUGGAAUUCCCGGUGUAACGGUGGAAUGUGUAGAUAUCGGGAAGAACACCAAUGGCGAAGGCAGGUCUCUGGGCCGUCACUGACGCUGAGGAGCGAAAGCGUGGGGAGCGAACAGGAUUAGAUACCCUGGUAGUCCAAGGGCGAAUUC
rnacentral:rRNA from 1 species